rnacentral:misc_RNA from 1 species
GAAUAUUAGGGCGUCUCUUCGGAGAGCCUGACCUCCACUUCUAACACUGUGCACUUGAUGGCUUAUUGAGACGGAUUAGGACUUCCGUUCUUUGAAAUCUCGAUUUGCGGCUUCAUUUUAAACAUUAGUAUAAGUAUGUAACGAAAUAUCGAAACAAAAAAAAACUUUCAACAACGGAUCUCUUGGCUCU